rnacentral:rRNA from 1 species
UACGUAGGGUGCAAGCGUUAAUCGGAAUUACUGGGCGUAAAGCGUGCGCAGGCGGUCUGUUAAGACCGAUGUGAAAUCCCCGGGCUUAACCUGGGAAUGGCAUUUGGGACUGCAAGGCUUGAGUGCGGCAGAGGAGACUGGAAUUCCUGGUGUAGCAGUGAAAUGCGCAGAUAUCAGGAGGAACACCGGUGGCGAAGGCGGGUCUCUGGGCAGUAACUGACGCUGAGGAGCGAAAGCGUGGGGAGCGAACAGG